rnacentral:rRNA from 1 species
CCUACGGGUGGCAGCAGUGAGGAAUAUUGGUCAAUGGGCGAGAGCCUGAACCAGCCAAGUCGCGUGAGGGAGUACUGCCCUAUGGGUUGUAAACCUCUUUUGUCGGGGAGCAAAAGCCGGACGUGUCCGGCUGUGAGAGUACCCGAAGAAAAAGCAUCGGCUAACUCCGUGCCAGCAGCCGCGGUAAUACGGAGGAUGCGAGCGUUAUCCGGAUUUAUUGGGUUUAAAGGGUGCGCAGGCGGAUUUUUAAGUCAGCGGUAAAAUCGUGGGGCUCAACCCCAUCCAGCCGUUGAAACUGGGGAUCUAGAGUGUGCGAGAGGUAUGCGGAAUGCGUGGUGUAGCGGUGAAAUGCAUAGAUAUCACGCAGAACCCCGAUUGCGAAGGCAGCAUACCGGCGCCCUACUGACGCUGAGGCACGAAAGUGCGGGUAUCGAACAGGAUUAGAUACCCUUGUAGUC